rnacentral:rRNA from 1 species
GGAAUUUUGGACAAUGGGGGCAACCCUGAUCCAGCAAUGCCGCGUGAGUGAUGAAGGCCUUAGGGUUGUAAAGCUCUUUUACCAGGGAUGAUAAUGACAGUACCUGGAGAAUAAGCUCCGGCUAACUCCGUGCCAGCAGCCGCGGUAAUACGGAGGGAGCUAGCGUUGUUCGGAAUUACUGGGCGUAAAGAGUACGUAGGCGGUGAUUCAAGUCAGAGGUGAAAGCCUGGAGCUCAACUCCAGAACUGCCUUUGAAACUAGAUCGCUAGAAUUGUGGAGAGGUUAGUGGAAUUCCGAGUGUAGAGGUGAAAUUCGUAGAUAUUCGGAAGAACACCAGUGGCGAAGGCGACUCACUGGACACAUAUUGACGCUGAGGUACGAAAGCGUGGGGAGCAAACAGGAUUAGAUACCCUGGUAGUCCACGCCGUAAACGAUGAUAACUAGCUGUUCGGGCUCUACGAUCUUGAGUGGCGCAGCUAACGCAUUAAGUGCCCCGCCUGGGGAGUACGAUCGCAAGAUUAAAACUCAAAGGAAUUGACGG